AGGCAGCAAAGCACGGCGGCAAGAAGCCAACUUUGGGGCCAGACCUAGGGAUAUGGUCAGUUCACCAACAUUUCUUCAGUACCUUCUGCAUGCCAAGCACGGUGUGACCCAGGCCCAGUGUCUGAACCUCUCUGAGCCUCGGUUUACUAAUCUGAACCCCGGGAUAACACUAGCGGCCUCCUCGGAUGGCCGUGUGGAUUUACCAAGGUUUGUAAGAUGCCCAGCACAGCCUCCUGCCCUCCUCUUCAAUGCCUGAGGUCUUUGUUCAGAGGCAGAAGGAACGACCAAGGGAAGACCAGCAUUGCUUACCAGAGAAACUGAGGCUGGGUGAGAACAAAUGGCUCGCCCAGGGGAAUGCUUCAUGGUGGCCAUGGAGCCGCUGGAUGGCCAGGCUCCCCAAUGCCCCCCGAGUUGUUUGGAACCCUUUGAACCCAGCGGCACAAACAGACCCUCGGUGGGCGUGGACGGUCAGCUUUAUUUCUUUCCAUGCCGAGAAAUACAGAGGAGAGAACUGCACUGGCCUGGAGGACAGAAGGAAGCUGACAUAAAGGGAUUUUUUGACUUAAUAAAAACUCGAAGAGAAGAGAAAAAGCCAAGAAGUCCCCAGGGUGACCCACGGCAGCGAGGUUACCAGGGCCUGACUUGCAGUGAUGGCUGGCUGGAUGACCCAGAGGAAGAUGAAGACGCCAAUAAAGUGCCCAGGGUGUGUCCACGCCGGCGCUAAGUCCACCUCUGCCUGUCCCACCCUUGGGACACCCCGGGUGUGAAGGAUGCUGAGAUGUAAACAGUGGAGUGGAAAGUGGACAGGGAAGCAAACAGAAGGGUAGCAAAUCAGUUAUCUUGGAGAACGGAUGUGGUCUUAGGAAGCAGAUUAAAAAACUCAAGCAAGAGUUCCAGAAAACCUGGAAGGCACAUAAUUAAAGCUGAACUGACGGCUGCUGGACCCCAGCGGGAGCACCAGAGAGCGGAAGUGACAGGCCAGUGCCCACUUGCCAACCUGACCCUCCACUGCAGGUGGCUUCCCUCAUGGUGGCAGAAUGGCUGCAGGAGUUCUAGGAAUCACAUACAUACUCCAUCAUGC